rnacentral:rRNA from 1 species
UACAGAGGUCUCAAGCGUUGUUCGGAUUCAUUGGGCGUAAAGGGCGCGUAGGCGGGCUGCCAAGUCCGGGGUGAAAUCCUCCAGCUUAACUGGAGAACGGCCUCGGAUACUGGCGGCCUCGAGUGGGGUAGGGGCGUGCGGAACUGUGGGUGGAGCGGUGAAAUGCAUUGAUAUCCACAGGAACUCCGGUGGCGAAGGCGGCACGCUGGACCCUUUCUGACGCUGAGGCGCGAAAGCCAGGGGAGCGAACGGG